UUGUAGACUAAAAGAUGAGGAGUCGGACCUGCCCGGUGAAAUUUUUUAACGGCCGCGGUACUCUGACCGUGCAAAGGUAGCAUAAUCAUUUGCCUUAUAAUUGAAGGCUAGUAUGAAUGGUUUGACAAGAAUAUAACUGUCUCCUUGUAAUUUAAUAGAACUUUAUUUUGAGGUGAAAAAGCCUUUAUUUGAUUAAUAGACAAGAAGACCCUAUCGAGCUUUAAAGAAUUUGAUUGGUUAAGUAACUAUAUUGUUGAAGAGAGUAAGCAAUUGAAUAUUUUGGUUGGGGCGACUAAGGUACAUAAGAAGCUUCCUUUAUAUUAUUUAUACAUUCAGGUAUCGAUCCAGAAAUAUUGAUUGAAGGAAUUAGUUACCGUAGGGAUAACAGCAUUAUCUUUUUUGAGAGUUCUUAUCGAAAAAAGGGUUUGUGACCUCGAUGUUGGACCAGAAUGUCCUGAAGAUGCAGAAGUCUUUAAGGGUUGGUCUGUUCGACCAUUAAAAUUCUA
rnacentral:rRNA from 1 species